GAUGAACGCUGGCGGCGUGCCUAAUACAUGCAAGUCGAGCGAACAGACGAGGAGCUUGCUCCUCUGACGUUAGCGGCGGACGGGUGAGUAACACGUGGAUAACCUACCUAUAAGACUGGGAUAACUUCGGGAAACCGGAGCUAAUACCGGAUAAUAUAUUGAACCGCAUGGUUCAAUAGUGAAAGACGGUUUUGCUGUCACUUAUAGAUGGAUCCGCGCCGCAUUAGCUAGUUGGUAAGGUAACGGCUUACCAAGGCAACGAUGCGUAGCCGACCUGAGAGGGUGAUCGGCCACACUGGAACGGAGACACGGUCCAGACUCCUACGGGAGGCAGCAGUAGGGAAUCUUCCGCAAUGGGCGAAAGUUUGACGGAGCAACGCCGCGUGAGUGAUGAAGGUCUUCGGAGCGUAAAACUCUGUUAUGAGGGAAGAACAAAUGUGUAAGUAACUAUGCACGUCUUGACGGUACCUAAUCAGAAAGCCACGGCUAACUACGUG
rnacentral:rRNA from 1 species